rnacentral:rRNA from 1 species
UACGUAGGGCGCAAGCGUUGUCCGGAAUUAUUGGGCGUAAAGAGCUCGUAGGCGGUUUGUCACGUCGGAUGUGAAAGCCCGGGGCUUAACCCCGGGUCUGCAUUCGAUACGGGCAGACUAGAGUGUGGAAGGGGAGAUCGGAAUUCCUGGUGUAGCGGUGAAAUGCGCAGAUAUCAGGAGGAACACCUAUGGCGAAGGCAGCUCGCUGGGACGAUACUGACGCUGAGGCGCGAAAGCGUGGGGAGCAAACAGG